rnacentral:rRNA from 1 species
AUUGAACGCUGGCGGCAUGCCUUACACAUGCAAGUCGAACGGCAGCACGGGAGCUUGCUCCUGGUGGCGAGUGGCGAACGGGUGAGUAAAGUAUCGGAACAUGCCCUGAAGUGGGGGAUAACGUAGCGAAAGUUACGCUAAUACCGCAUAUUCUGUGAGCAGGAAAGCAGGGGAUCGCAAGACCUUGCGCUUUAGGAGUGGCCGAUAUCGGAUUAGCUAGUUGGUGAGGUAAAGGCUCACCAAGGCGACGAUCCGUAGCGGGUCUGAGAGGAUGAUCCGCCACACUGGGACUGAGACACGGCCCAGACUCCUACGGGAGGCAGCAGUGGGGAAUUUUGGACAAUGGGCGCAAGCCUGAUCCAGCCAUGCCGCGUGAGUGAAGAAGGCCUCGGUUGUAAAGCUCUUUCGUCGGGAGGAAAGUAGGCGCGUUCUAAUACAGGCGUUGAUGACGGUACCCGCGAUAAGAAGACACCGGCGUAACUACGUGCC